rnacentral:lncRNA from 1 species
UUUUGAGAAAGGCUUUGUUGUGGGAGAACUUUUUAUAAAGAUCUCCUUAGUUAAAUUUUGGCGUGGAAGUGCGUAUUCAGUCUGUGGAAUUCGUAUUUCCGGGUAUGUUUCUUAUUUAAUUUUUGUAAUGUUAUUAUUUUUAAUUGUUAGUUAAAGUUUGAAUUUUUGAAGUUUAGUUAGUGUUGUUAAUAAACUAGUUAGUUUACUAUGUUUAUUUUGGCUUGGAAUUGAUUAUGUAAAUGAGUUAUUUGUGAUGACUUUUAAUAUUUUGUGAUGAAUUUCAUUAAUUAAUAAUUAUUAAUGAUAUUAAAGUUAUUUAAUGAUUAUAUUAAAUAAUUUAGUUUAAAAAUGAUUUUAAUAUUAUAAAAAUCAUUUUAAAUGAAAAUAAGGUAUUUAAAAAUAUUUUAAGUUAUAAAAUAUAACUUUUAAUAUUUAAAUGAUAAUUUCAUUAAUAAUUAAAUAUUAAUGAUAUUAAGAUAAUAUUAAUGAUAUUUAGUUUAUUUAAUGAUUAAUAUUAAAUAAAUAGUUUAAAAAUGGUUUUACUUAUUUAAAAACCAUUUAAAGAGGAUAUUAAGGAUUUAAAAAUAUUUUAAGUUAUAAUUAAUGACUUUUAAUAUUUGGAUAAAUAGUACAUUAAUAUUUAAAUAUUAAUGGUAAUUAUUUGGGUAAUAUAAAUGUUUUAAAAAUAGUUUGAGUUAUUAUAAAUAACUUUUAUAUUUUGGCAAUGGUUUCAUUAAUAGUUUAGUAUUAAUUAAACUAUUAAUGAUAAUGGAAUUGUUUAAUGUUUAAAUCAUUUAAUUAUGAUUCCGAUAUUUGAAAGUUAUAGCCGGCCAAACUAGCUGACUUGAGAACCGAUUAUGAAGUUCUGAAUUUGAAGAAGAACACCUAUAGUAACAGUUAUAUCACUAUAGGCCCUUUAGUGACAGAUUUGAAUUAUUUUAAAUUUUUCAAUUUCUGGAAAUUGCGAAAAUGAUUAAAAAUAAGAUGUCUGAUAUUUACAGAUGUUGAGGUAUAGAAUAAGAGUCUUAGACUCAGUAUUUACCCGAUAAAGCUGUCGGUACGCCGACAAAUGUCAGACCUUAUAAAAGAAAGAAAAGACUACUGUAAGAGCAUGGAUGAGAUAUUUGAAAAAUGUAUAAAAAUAUUUCAAGUAUAGAAUAGGAACUAAAAGUAUGAUCACUGUGAUUAUGUGAUUAGACUAUGUGCUGACUGUAAUAGACAGUACUAUGUGUUAAGAUAUAUUGUUCUAAUCGAACGAAUGAUCUGAUUAUUGAUAGGUUGUGAUAAAGAGAUAAAACCUAAGUUGAGAUUUGUAAUCAGCGAAUCAGGCAAGUAUCCUACCUUUGCACUUCCUUUAUGCAAUGGACAUGAGUAAGAAGUUUCAGAAUUAUUCUAUCCCUGUACAGAUUAUGUACUCUUUGAUUAUCGACAUGUUAGCUCAGAUAUAUAUUCUGUUCAUUGAUUUCUAUAAAUGGUUAUACAAGUGUCCCCACUUGGAUAAUCAUGGCAUUUGUUCACAUGUUGAUACACCUUUGUCAAUUACCCGUAUAUAUAUGUUGAAUUACAUAUUAUUGUUGAGCAAGAUUAAAAACCUUCGGGUUUGGAACCAGGCAUGUAUGAACAUCCCUAUAUGGGAAGAUUUUUGCGCAAGGCGGAUAGAGUGAGCGAUGAAUUUCGUUCAAGUUAUGUAGUAUUGAUCAAUACAGGGUACAACGGGGCUGAUCACCCUCCGUGCCCGUAAGUUAUGACGGUUUGAGGAUAGAAUUCCGCUAAACCUUUUCGAAAAUGAAAAGAAUGUUCAUAGUAUGUUUCUUAAACCCUAUUCAAGGGUAGAGCCAGAGCCAAAUUUAAAGAAUUUGAAAGAGAGUUGUUAUGUGAAUUUUUUAUCAGUACAGAUUACUUCACAACUUUCAAUUCGUUGUAGAAGUGUUAUGUAAAGAGAAUACUUAUAUUCUUUCAGCUUAUAUAUAAUUGCUAUUACUUGCUGGGCACUUAAAUGCUCAUCCUUGCUUAAAUUAAAUGUUUUCAGUUAUGUAUGAGCAACCUGAAGGCUCAGGCACGAACAAAGGAAAAGGAAAGCUGAUCGAAUAAGUGUGUAUUAUGAGUUAAUGGUUAUAGUUAUAUUGGUAUCUAUUCAAGUAUUGUAAGGAAUGUAUUUGAAGGUCACGUACCUGGGGAC